rnacentral:rRNA from 1 species
GGCGAGUGAAGCGGGAACAGCUCAAAUUUGAAAUCUGGCCCUUGGGUCCGAGUUGUAAUUUGCAGAGGAUGCUUUUGGUGCGGUGCCUUCCGAGUUCCCUGGAACGGGACGCCUUAGAGGGUGAGAGCCCCGUACGGUUGGACACCAAGCCUAUGUAAAGCUCCUUCGACGAGUCGAGUAGUUUGGGAAUGCUGCUCAAAAUGGGAGGUAUAUUUCUUCUAAAGCUAAAUAUUGGCCAGAGACCGAUAGCGCACAAGUAGAGUGAUCGAAAGAUGAAAAGCACUUUGAAAAGAGGGUUAAAUAGCACGUGAAAUUGUUGAAAGGGAAGGAUUUAUGACCAGACUUUUUCUAGGGGGAUCAUCCGGUGUUCUCACCGGUGCACUUCCCCUAGUUGAGGCCAGCAUCGGUUUCUGUCGGGGGAUAAAAGCUUUAGGAAUGUGGCUCCCUCCGGGGAGUGUUAUAGCCUGUUGCAUAAUACCCUGACGGGGACCGAGGUUCGCGCAUUGCAAGGAUGCUGGCGUAAUGGUUAUUAAUCACCCGUCUUGAAACACGGACCAAGGAGUCGAACAUUUGUGCGAGUGUUUGGGUGUUAAACCCUCACGCGUAAUGAAAGUGAACGGAGGUGAGAGCCUUUCGGGGUGCAUCAUCGACCGAUCCUGAUGUCUUCGGAUGGAUUUGAGUAAGAGCAUUAAUGUUCGGACCCGAAAGAUGGUGAACUAUGCGUGGAUAGGGUGAAGCCAGAGGAAACUCUGGUGGAGGCUCGCAGCGGUUCUGACGUGCAAAUCGAUCGUCAAAUCUGCGCAUGGGGGCGAA